UACGGAGGGUGCAAGCGUUAUCCGGAUUCACUGGGUUUAAAGGGUGCGUAGGAGGGCAGGUAAGUCAGUGGUGAAAUCCCCGAGCUUAACUUGGGAACUGCCGUUGAUACUAUCUGUCUUGAAUACCGUGGAGGUGAGCGGAAUAUGUCAUGUAGCGGUGAAAUGCUUAGAUAUGACAUAGAACACCAAUUGCGAAGGCAGCUCGCUACACGAAUAUUGACACUGAGGCACGAAAGCGUGGGGAUCAAACAGG
rnacentral:rRNA from 1 species